UGCCAGCCGCCGCGGUAAUACGGAGGGGGUUAGCGUUGUUCGGAAUUACUGGGCGUAAAGCGCACGUAGGCGGACUGGAAAGUUGGGGGUGAAAUCCCAGGGCUCAACCCUGGAACUGCCUCCAAAACUAUCAGUCUAGAGUUCGAGAGAGGUGAGUGGAAUUCCGAGUGUAGAGGUGAAUGCGUAGAUAUCGGGAGGAAUACCAGUGGCGGAGGCGGCUACCUGGACUGGCACUGACGCUGAAACGCGAAAGCUAGGGGAGCAAACAGGAUUAGAUA
rnacentral:rRNA from 1 species